AAGCUUCUACCUCAAAGAUCGAAAAGCUUAAAACAAAACGAGAUCCCUUUGAGUUCAAAGGUAACUCUGUUCAGUUGAAACUAGACGUCUCAACAGCAAGGUUAAUUUUCUCCCCAAGCAUGAGUUGCACAUAAGUUCUUGAAUCUAACAGAAGCUAGAAACCGACAUCUGUAAAGUAACACAACUAUGUAGUACUUUUACUUUUCAUUUUACCUGCCUCUUCAAAUCAUUUCCUCAAUAUGCAGUGGAUAAUUAUAAAUUCCCUUCCCGAGAUAUUUAUGCAAUAACAUUGAUAGUAUUUUGUGUUUAUAUGUUAUAAAUGAGCUCGAGGAAAGAGUUUGGUGCUUGUAAGUAUUCAAUAUUUUGUGCAGAGGCCACCAAACAACUUAAUGGCCAUAGAUCAUACAAGAAGAUCAU
rnacentral:lncRNA from 1 species